AAUCAAUAACAGAUCAUGACGGUAUAGAGAUAGAAGUUAUAUGUUAU
rnacentral:guide_RNA from 1 species